rnacentral:tRNA from 1 species
AGGGAAGUACAAUAAUUGGUUAAUUGGCUACAUUUGGGAUGUAGAAGAUGAAGGUUCGAGCCCUUUCUUCCCUA